AGUGAACGCUGGCGGUAGGCCUAACACAUGCAAGUCGAACGGCAGCACAGUAAGAGCUUGCUCUUACGGGUGGCGAGUGGCGGACGGGUGAGGAAUACAUCGGAAUCUACUUUUUCGUGGGGGAUAACGUAGGGAAACUUACGCUAAUACCGCAUACGACCUACGGGUGAAAGCAGGGGAUCUUCGGACCUUGCGCGAUUGAAUGAGCCGAUGUCGGAUUAGCUAGUUGGCGGGGUAAAGGCCCACCAAGGCGACGAUCCGUAGCUGGUCUGAGAGGAUGAUCAGCCACACUGGAACUGAGACACGGUCCAGACUCCUACGGGAGGCAGCAGUGGGGAAUAUUGGACAAGGGGCGCAAGCCUAAUCCAGCCAUACCGCGUGGGCGAAGAAGGCCUUCGGGUUGUAAAGCCCUUUUGUUGGGAAAGAAAAGCAGCAGGUUAAUACCCCGCUGUUCUGACGGUACCCAAAGAAUAAGCACCGGCUAACUUCGUG
rnacentral:rRNA from 1 species